GUUGAAGAUAGAGGUGCGAACUUCAAGAGUAAGCCUUCAGAGAUCGAUGGGAUCUAGGAAGAGGGCUGAAAGGGGAGCGUCGCCGAAGCGAAUAAAAUCCACUCAUUUUAUUCGCUGGCUGUACAUUGAAGAAAUGUAGGGCUGUCAAGAAUUUAUUUCUUGGAGGGCUAUCUCAUUG
rfam:Bacillus pumilus SAFR-032, complete genome.